UGAAACCCUACCUCCUCUCCCACUCGUCCCGCUCCUCAAACUCCCGGCUCCCUGCGCCGCCUCCUCCGACUCCCCGUUCCCUGGCUGCCUUCCGCCCCCAUGCACUACCGUUCCCUGGCUGCCCUUCUCCCCAUACCCUCCCCUCCGGCUCCCAGCCAUGGCGGCAGCGAGCGCCCGACCGUGGCCCAUGGGAGGCUGCCAGGCGCAAGAUCCGGCCGCCAUGGACCCAGAUUUGGCUGCAGCGGUGAUGGGGGCGUGAAGAACGCGGCCGAGGUAGGUGCGGCAUGGGGCGUGGCGGCUCCCGAGCAAGUCCCCCCCCAAACCCUAGCCCACCACUCUUCUCUCGCAGGCCACAGCAACGGUGCAAGCUCUAGUCUCCCUUGCGGGGGGCCGGCUUGUGCAUCAUGUGGCGGCGGCCUCACUGAUUGGGAUGUCGCGCGGCCUGGCACACGGCGCUGCAGCCCUCUUCGCAGCUUGGUGGCAGUGCGCCCGCUCUCCGUGAGCUGCGUCGAACUGGAGCUCGAGCUGCUCGUCACACGUGCACUCCAGCCUUGCCAGGCCGCAUGCAGGAACCUUCAUCUUGAAUGGAUUAUCACUUGGAAAUCAUCAACACAAGGAAGUGCAAUGUUUCCUACCAAUAUUCCAAGAGUGGAGACAGUUGCACGCAAAACACCAUCCUCUAAGGCCAAGCGAAGCCUUUCUCAAACCAACAAGCAAUUUAUUUCUCUACAUAACUUGAUGAAUGCUGCUGUUAAACUUAUACGGACUAGAAGCCAACAGGUAUGAAAUGCAAAUCUGAUUUCUAUUCAAUUUUUGCAAGUUUUCUAUUCAAACUUGACGAAUGCUGCUGCCAUUAACUUGUAUUUUACUCCUGAACAAGACAAAAUUAUCUUGCUGCUCGAAAAAUUACCUGUCAAUUGACAUGUGUGUGUUGGCCUAUCGAUGUGCAACUCUGAUGAGAUGAGGAUCCAUAAAGAGUUCUCUGAAAGUUUUAUCCAAGGGGAAGGAGAAGAAAAAGAAUCAUAUAAGGGCAUUGGUGAACCCGGCAGUGAAGGUGCAACAGGUGACAGUGAUUCUAUGAAGGAUUUGGUUAAGUCACUAAUCCAUGGUACCAUAAAUGGAGAUAUCAUAGGUACCGAAAAAGAAGAGCCGAAUGAAAGUGCCAAGACAUUCUUUAAAUUAUUAACAGAGGCGCAGAGGGAACUUUAUCUAGGAUGCAAGGAAGCUACUAAGGUAUCUUUCAUUGUCUGGCUAUUUCAGAUUAAGUGCAUGUAUGGUCUUGGUAACAGUGCAUUAGAGGUUGUUCUUUGGCUGUUCUCGCUUGUUCUCCCUGAAGGUCAUUGUGUUCCAGACACUUUGGAGAAGGUGCAAAAGGAAACUUAAACUUGAAUGGAUCACUCGGACUUGGAGUUGUGCUGCCAUUGUGGAUACAAGGAGUUAUUAAAUAUCAAACAAUGAUUUCUAUAGCCUACUUAGGAUUUGGUUGUGUCCGCACAACACUUUCUUCAAUUUGGAUCUUAUAUUCGCCACUUUACAAAUCUCAUUUGUCAUGAACUAUUUUUAAUUCAUAUAAUGUACAUGUACUGGACACGUAUAAUGAUGGAUUCUAUUCAUAUUCAUGCUGGUUGAGUUCUAAA